rnacentral:tRNA from 1 species
GGAUUGUGGCUCAGUGGCAGAGCACCUGCCUUGCAAGUGUGAGGCACUAGGUUCAAUCCACAGCACCA